GGCUAGGACCCCACCCCGUAAGACCUCCUCCUGCUGUGGACUGUCAAGAGGGCCUUGCUCUGUUCUUUCAACAGCCAACCUGUCUUCCCCCCAUUCUGCUGUGCCCCUGGGACGAGCCUGGUAAGGAUGCGGCUCCCAUGCUCUCUGAAUCCCAGUCUCACAACUGCCUCUGAUCAAACCCGUCUCUUUUGAGCUUCCUGUUGGCCUGCCUGUGGGCAUUGUUUAGACUGGACUUGGGACUGUCAAGGUCCCUAGGGACACUGCUGUCCUUGGAGCUGGCCUGGGGCAUCGAUCUCCCCCGUGCUCACUUGCCCAGUCCUUCCCCUAGGUCUGUGAACACCUGGCUCAUGGUCCAGGUUUCCCGGAACACAAAAGGUUGGACGGAAUUAAUUGUGUGUUUUCUGGGAGCCUAGAGGUAAAGUUCUACACCAUCACCCCGUAUCUCCAGGUUUCGCACCCUCUGUAUCCCAGACCCCUUUGCAUGGCCCCUCUAGGGAAGAUGAAGCCAAGGCCACCACUCUCCUCUAUGCUGUCGUGACUACAUGGGGCCAAGUUACAAGUCCCCAGCACUUUGCUUGGGUCCUGCCCAAAGUGGACCCACAGUGACCUCAAGCCAAGCUGUCUUCUUCCCUUGUGAGGUAAAAACCAUGUCAUGUCCCACUAGACAUCUGCUCCCAGGAGGACAAGAACCUCCAGAACCCUGGUUGAAAAUACAUUAUUUCUGGGGCCGGGGGAAGGGGCCUGUAUUUUUAAGAUGCCCCCAAGUAACUGUCAGGAUAAGAAGCUUCGGGAACAAGACCAAACCUAGUGGUCUCUGGCUGGAAAAUCUCAUCAGGGCCCCCAUUUCUCCACUGGGACCCUCCUUCUUUGGGACACAAGUACUUCUCCAGACCUUCCACCAGUUCCUUCCACUGUGAGGACCCACCUUGAGCAGGGCGCUGCCCGUAACCACCACACUUGCUCCACCUGCAGAGGGGGUUCGUCUUUGUGACGUCGCAAGGGAGGGCACUCACUGCCUGGGCAGGAAGAACAGCUUCUGCGGGGAGGCUGGCAUGAGCCCUGGCUCUCCUGACUGAAGACUGUGUUGCCGGGAGUGCCCAGCACUGCUCACAUUCCUGGGCCCUUCUCUCCUUUGUCCACAAGGGCUUCGUGACCAUCUGCUGAGACCUCAGUGCCCUUCUCCCUGUGCCGCACCCCCUCAGUCCCCCCACAUCUCUGCGGUCAGGAGAUCCAGAUGAGGAGGUCGAGAAGCAGAACUGACAACCUGCUGGGGUCCCAAGCACUUCCAGAGCCAGAGUGCCAUGCUGGGCACCUCAGACAUGGCAGACCAGGACCAAUGAGGCCCCCACGGAGCACCGAGCCUGGUGCAUGGCAUCAGGAGACAGAGUGGACAGUAAGAAAGGAGAAAACGCACGAGGUGAUGUCAAGUAGUGACGUGUGCAAUGCAGCAAGUGAAGACAGGGCGGUCACGUGGCAAGGGAGGAAAGCGUGCUAGCUGGAUGGUCCAGCAUCAACACGGCCAUGAAUGGCCCCUGGUCCAGGUCGCUGAGGGGUGCAGUCAAGGGUGGGCAGUAACUCACGCUCGGGAGUAGCUGAGAAACAGGCAGAGACUCCACGACACCAGGCACGUGUUUUUCCACCCUGACUCUACAAAGCCCUGGGCUGGCAGAUCACACUUCAGAGUUACCUUGGGAGGCAAGAAGUCACUGAUUCAGAGGUACCUUGAGAGGCAAGAAGUCACUGACUAGCUUUCUGGUACCUUAACCUCCCCAUCCCAGGAUCCAUCCUCACAACCCUGAACUCACUGGGGUUCAUAGGGACCAGGAUCUGAUCCCAUCCCAUGUAUGCAUAAAAACACGUAGCUGACGAAAACAAGAGAAAUAAAUGUGCUCACUGGUCAAGGAAAUAAGCAAUUUUCUCAGCAUACUUAUUUCCAAAAGAAAAACAGCACACUGGAUUACAGAUUCUAUCAGAGGCACAUAUAUUAGAACAGAUGGACCAAAAUUUUAAAGUAGUCACAUACUUUUAGAGAGAUAAGGCAUGACAUUAACAAUAGGGAAUGAGACUAAUAACAUAUAAAAGACAACCAAGAAGAAAUAUCGGAUAUGUAAACCAGUUGUUGAAAUGAAGAUACAUUAGAGGAAAUAAGUAGCAAACAGACAGCUGAGAAACAAAUUAGCAAACUAGCACAGCACACAGG
ensembl:lncRNA